AAUUAUCAACCUUUCCAGUUUGUUUUGAACUGGCUUAACAAAGGUAUUGGAUAUGGGAGUUAAUUGCAGGCUUAUAUAUCAGUCAGCUCUCCUCACAUGCAUUAGCAGAACCAAAUUAAAAUAGCAUUUUAAGGUGUGAUAACUAUCUACACCGCAUAAGAUGCAAAAGUUUAACUUUAAAAUUUUUUAAAUGGUGUUCAGCUUCUAAAAGUUGCUUUGAAAGCACUUAUCAUUGAAA
rnacentral:misc_RNA from 1 species